GACGAACGCUGGCGGCGUGCUUAACACAUGCAAGUCGAACGGUGAAGCGCCUUCCUUUUUGGUGGGUGUGGAUGAGUGGCGAACGGGUGAGUAACACGUGAGUAACCUGCCCCCUUCUUCUGGAUAACCGCAUGAAAGUGUGGCUAAUACGGGAUAUUCUGGGUCUGUCGCAUGAUGGGUCUGGGAAAGAUAUUGUUUCGGUGGGGGAUGGGCUCGCGGCCUAUCAGCUUGUUGGUGGGGUGAUGGCCUACCAAGGCGGUGACGGGUAGCCGGCCUGAGAGGGUGGACGGCCACACGGGGACGGAGACACGGCCCAGACUCCUACGGGAGGCAGCAGUGGGGAAUAUUGCACAAUGGGCGCAAGCCUGAUGCAGCGACGCCGCGUGAGGGAUGGAGGCCUUCGGGUUGUGAACCUCUUUCGCCAGUGAAGCAGGCCUGCCUCGUUUGUGGGUGGGUUGACGGUAGCUGGAGAAGAAGCGCCGGCUAACUACGUG
rnacentral:rRNA from 1 species